GCGGGGGUGCCCGAGCCAGGUCAAAUGCCAAGCAGACCAAAGGGGCUGGACUGAGGCUCCAGUGGCGUAGGCCUGCGUGGGUUCGAAUCCCACCCCCCGCA
rnacentral:tRNA from 1 species